UAAGUGCCUUGCCCAAGAUCACACAGCAGACAAGUGGCGGAGCCAGCAUUCGAACCCAGAUCCUUCUGUCUUCCAGUCCACAGUCCAGUCUCUCCAUUAGGCCGCACUGCUUCUCAGGAUGAAGGCUUCAUCUUCAGUAGAGUAAGAUUCCAAGCAAGAAAUCCUGGCGGUGAAGGUCCGCUUAUGAACUGCAAGAUCGGAGAUUGGAGGACCCUCCCAUCUGACAGCCUCGGCUCCCACGCCGAUGGCCCUCCUUGGCCCAUCGCUCUCAGGACGCCAGAUCUGUAAUCACACUGAUGAAAAGGACCCACAGCAGGAGGGCUAUAAAGAAGCAGAACCAAGAGAAGCAGUCCCGCUCAGAGUGUGACACGUCACCAGAUGAACAGUAUGCUCACCGGGAAAAAACAGCUGUCAAAAAGCCCCGCCGAUUUCCCUGACCCGUGACCUCUGCCGGGCCGAGUCCGUCGGGGCUCAUUUAAGAAGUUGGGAUAGCGAAUGUCAAUGGUCCCGAAGCCUACACAGGUUGGUGGCUAUCUGCGUAUCACCAGGGCGCAGAAGCGAGUCCGGCAACCUUGCCGCGGGUCUUUUAAGCCGAUGGACCUUGAGCUGGGCAACGGCUGGUGGGAUCGAAAACAGUUCCUGGGCAGUUUUGCAGGCCGAAAACCCGAGGUCUCAAUGGAUUAGGCCCCAGCUCUAUCCGGUGGCUCGUGCACCUCCUCUGGGGGCAGGAAAUGUGUCGAUUGACUCUGCGGCAUCGUACAGUGCUCUCAAUAAGUGGCGCCGAUGACGGAGAGACCAGCUCUACACAGUGGAGAGGAAAUGGAGGGCCGACAAGAUGGGCCGGCGUACAAGGGAAACGUGUACCGUUCACACCAAAGAAAACACUGUUCUUCCACGAACUGGGUCACUAGGGAGGGCAGGAAUGGACCCAGAGAUCACUCUGACCGUGCCGACUCGAUUUCCGAGCCACGCCACUCCUGCCGAGAGACGCGACGAACAAAACGAAACAGGAAGAGAAAGGAGACCCUCAGUGCACGGGAAGAAAACGGAAGCGAGUUGUGCAAUUGCCGAAUGGCAUUUUAAUCGACAUUAAAGACACUGCAGAGUGUGAUACGACGGCGCACAGAACGAGUGCUAAGGAAUGCGAUGUACAUCCUAGGAUUUAAAGCCAAUAGAAGCGACAGAUCGAGCACACGGUAUAUUUUCAGUUCGGCUACCAGACACAAAACUGGCUCGUCAUUCCAUUCUACUGUCUGACAAAUAGUGAAGAACAAGAGUUUCAGUCUUAAUAUACAUCUUGAGUCAAAAUUUUCUUUCAGGGAGAAAAGUACAAUAAUAAAUUACAAUGCAGUGAA